rnacentral:rRNA from 1 species
GUGGGGAAUAUUGCACAAUGGGCGCAAGCCUGAUGCAGCAACGCCGCGUGAGGGAUGACGGCCUUCGGGUUGUAAACCUCUUUUAGCAGGGAAGAAGCGAAAGUGACGGUACCUGCAGAAAAAGCGCCGGCUAACUACGUGCCAGCAGCCGCGGUAAUACGUAGGGCGCAAGCGUUAUCCGGAAUUAUUGGGCGUAAAGAGCUCGUAGGCGGUUUGUCGCGUCUGCUGUGAAAUCCCGAGGCUCAACCUCGGGCCUGCAGUGGGUACGGGCAGACUAGAGUGCGGUAGGGGAGAUUGGAAUUCCUGGUGUAGCGGUGGAAUGCGCAGAUAUCAGGAGGAACACCGAUGGCGAAGGCAGAUCUCUGGGCCGUAACUGACGCUGAGGAGCGAAAGGGUGGGGAGCAA